rnacentral:rRNA from 1 species
GGUUAAGCGACUAAGCGUACACGGUGGAUGCCCUGGCAGUCAGAGGCGAUGAAGGACGUGCUAAUCUGCGAUAAGCGUCGGUAAGGUGAUAUGAACCGUUAUAACCGGCGAUUUCCGAAUGGGGAAACCCAGUGUGUUUCGACACACUAUCAUUAACUGAAUCCAUAGGUUAAUGAGGCGAACCGGGGGAACUGAAACAUCUAAGUACCCCGAGGAAAAGAAAUCAACCGAGAUUCCCCCAGUAGCGGCGAGCGAACGGGGAGCAGCCCAGAGCCUGAAUCAGUGUGUGUGUUAGUGGAAGCGUCUGGAAAGGCGCGCGAUACAGGGUGACAGCCCCGUACACAAAAAUGCACAUGCUGUGAGCUCGAUGAGUAGGGCGGGACACGUGGUAUCCUGUCUGAAUAUGGGGGGACCAUCCUCCAAGGCUAAAUACUCCUGACUGACCGAUAGUGAACCAGUACCGUGAGGGAAAGGCGAAAAGAACCCCGGCGAGGGGAGUGAAAAAGAACCUGAAACCGUGUACGUACAAGCAGUGGGAGCACGCUUAGGCGUGUGACUGCGUACCUUUUGUAUAAUGGGUCAGCGACUUAUAUUCUGUAGCAAGGUUAACCGAAUAGGGGAGCCGAAGGGAAACCGAGUCUUAACUGGGCGUUAAGUUGCAGGGUAUAGACCCGAAACCCGGUGAUCUAGCCAUGGGCAGGUUGAAGGUUGGGUAACACUAACUGGAGGACCGAACCGACUAAUGUUGAAAAAUUAGCGGAUGACUUGUGGCUGGGGGUGAAAGGCCAAUCAAACCGGGAGAUAGCUGGUUCUCCCCGAAAGCUAUUUAGGUAGCGCCUCGUGAAUUCAUCUCCGGGGGUAGAGCACUGUUUCGGCAAGGGGGUCAUCCCGACUUACCAACCCGAUGCAAACUGCGAAUACCGGAGAAUGUUAUCACGGGAGACACACGGCGGGUGCUAACGUCCGUCGUGAAGAGGGAAACAACCCAGACCGCCAGCUAAGGUCCCAAAGUCAUGGUUAAGUGGGAAACGAUGUGGGAAGGCCCAGACAGCCAGGAUGUUGGCUUAGAAGCAGCCAUCAUUUAAAGAAAGCGUAAUAGCUCACUGGUCGAGUCGGCCUGCGCGGAAGAUGUAACGGGGCUAAACCAUGCACCGAAGCUGCGGCAGCGACGCUUAUGCGUUGUUGGGUAGGGGAGCGUUCUGUAAGCCUGUGAAGGUGUGCUGUGAGGCAUGCUGGAGGUAUCAGAAGUGCGAAUGCUGACAUAAGUAACGAUAAAGCGGGUGAAAAGCCCGCUCGCCGGAAGACCAAGGGUUCCUGUCCAACGUUAAUCGGGGCAGGGUGAGUCGACCCCUAAGGCGAGGCCGAAAGGCGUAGUCGAUGGGAAACAGGUUAAUAUUCCUGUACUUGGUGUUACUGCGAAGGGGGGACGGAGAAGGCUAUGUUGGCCGGGCGACGGUUGUCCCGGUUUAAGCGUGUAGGCUGGUUUUCCAGGCAAAUCCGGAAAAUCAAGGCUGAGGCGUGAUGACGAGGCACUACGGUGCUGAAGCAACAAAUGCCCUGCUUCCAGGAAAAGCCUCUAAGCAUCAGGUAACAUCAAAUCGUACCCCAAACCGACACAGGUGGUCAGGUAGAGAAUACCAAGGCGCUUGAGAGAACUCGGGUGAAGGAACUAGGCAAAAUGGUGCCGUAACUUCGGGAGAAGGCACGCUGAUAUGUAGGUGAAGUCCCUCGCGGAUGGAGCUGAAAUCAGUCGAAGAUACCAGCUGGCUGCAACUGUUUAUUAAAAACACAGCACUGUGCAAACACGAAAGUGGACGUAUACGGUGUGACGCCUGCCCGGUGCCGGAAGGUUAAUUGAUGGGGUUAGCGCAAGCGAAGCUCUUGAUCGAAGCCCCGGUAAACGGCGGCCGUAACUAUAACGGUCCUAAGGUAGCGAAAUUCCUUGUCGGGUAAGUUCCGACCUGCACGAAUGGCGUAAUGAUGGCCAGGCUGUCUCCACCCGAGACUCAGUGAAAUUGAACUCGCUGUGAAGAUGCAGUGUACCCGCGGCAAGACGGAAAGACCCCGUGAACCUUUACUAUAGCUUGACACUGAACAUUGAGCCUUGAUGUGUAGGAUAGGUGGGAGGCUUUGAAGUGUGGACGCCAGUCUGCAUGGAGCCGACCUUGAAAUACCACCCUUUAAUGUUUGAUGUUCUAACGUGGACCCGUGAUCCGGGUUGCGGACAGUGUCUGGUGGGUAGUUUGACUGGGGCGGUCUCCUCCUAAAGAGUAACGGAGGAGCACGAAGGUUGGCUAAUCCUGGUCGGACAUCAGGAGGUUAGUGCAAUGGCAUAAGCCAGCUUGACUGCGAGCGUGACGGCGCGAGCAGGUGCGAAAGCAGGUCAUAGUGAUCCGGUGGUUCUGAAUGGAAGGGCCAUCGCUCAACGGAUAAAAGGUACUCCGGGGAUAACAGGCUGAUACCGCCCAAGAGUUCAUAUCGACGGCGGUGUUUGGCACCUCGAUGUCGGCUCAUCACAUCCUGGGGCUGAAGUAGGUCCCAAGGGUAUGGCUGUUCGCCAUUUAAAGUGGUACGCGAGCUGGGUUUAGAACGUCGUGAGACAGUUCGGUCCCUAUCUGCCGUGGGCGCUGGAGAACUGAGGGGGGCUGCUCCUAGUACGAGAGGACCGGAGUGGACGCAUCACUGGUGUUCGGGUUGUCAUGCCAAUGGCACUGCCCGGUAGCUAAAUGCGGAAGAGAUAAGUGCUGAAAGCAUCUAAGCACGAAACUUGCCCCGAGAUGAGUUCUCCCUGACUCCUUGAGAGUCCUGAAGGAACGUUGAAGACGACGACGUUGAUAGGCCGGGUGUGUAAGCGCAGCGAUGCGUUGAGCUAACCGGUACUAAUGAACCGUGAGGCUUAACCUU